CAAUGUGCACGCGCGAUACUGUAGAGAUAGAGAUAAAGGGUAUCGCAUGUUCUGUAACAAGGGCGAAAGCCAGAAGCUCAUAAGCACUAUUUACCCAUACAUUGUGCCAAGCAUGAUGUAUAAGAUAGGUUUUUCUUAACCCCGUAACGACUGGAUCCGAGGCACUGUGGUGCCGAGGUGAAGAUGGCGAGGCAUUUGCCAUAACAUGCUGGUGUUCGAAGCAAGGUAACUUUGAACAAGGAAUAGUCUACACCCGUAGUAAUACGGGAUCGUACGAGGAAAUGCGUACAAAAGUGGUCGGCUCAUCGCAUCCUGGGGGUGAAGAAGCUCCCAAGGGUUUGGCUGUUCGCCAAUUAAAGCGGUACGCGAGCUGGGUUUAGACCGUCAAACAAAUUACUAAACCCUAGACAUAGAGGACACACGGCGGCCCUGGAGAGUGAUCUCUGGGUGAAAAGUUGGCUCAUAUCGGUGAAGUCCUACCAGAUUAUUGACCUGGAUUUGGGGAUAAUACCGAGGGAAGUCACCACCAAUGGUGGUUGACCCCGUAGAGACUUCUCAACCUUGGGUUGAGAGAUGGAGAAAAAUCUCCAUAAUACGCCAACCUUCUAAAUUAUUAGAAGAUGGUAUAGUCCAUACAUUUGGUAACAAGUGAUACUAAUGCGUGAGACAGGUUGGUCUUUAUCUACUACAGGCGUGGAGAACUUGAGGGAAUUUGACCCUAGUAAGUAAUUGCUACUUCGUAGAGCGAUCUACGAUGACAAUGUGGCUUAUAACGGUGAAGCCUUCAUACGAUUAUGGUUCGAGAACUAUACCCGCUGUCGGUUCCAGCAGGGCGUGGUUCGCUUGAGAACCAUAAUCCUCUUUAAGGUAAUACCGUGGGAAGUCGAUCUAAAUAGACUUUUAGGUUUGACCCCGUAACGACUCAUCUGCUAGUUGCAGAUGGACUUAUAGGACAUUCGAACUGUAUAUGCAGCGAUUCCUGUAGGUAACAUGCCACCACCUCCAUGGGAGGUGAAGAUAUAGUCUGCGCUCCUAGAAAUAGGGGGAUACGUGACGAGAGGACCGGGUUGAGCGAACCUCUGGUCUACCAGCUUUGGUACCAACUGAAGCGCUGGGUAGCUAAGUUUGUGUUGGAUAAGCGCUGAAGGCAUCUAAGCGCGAAGCCGCGCCCAAGAUUAGGUUUAGGUCCCCGGAAGACUACCGGGUUGAUAGGCUCUAGGUGUAAGUGCCGCAAGGUAUUCAGCCAAGGAGUACUAAUAGACCGUUGCCUCUUUUUA
rnacentral:ncRNA from 1 species